rnacentral:lncRNA from 10 species
CUUUCUGUACAUACUACUUUAGAGAAAAUCCACUGAAGAAUAUUAGAAGACCAAAACAUCAUAUAUAACAAAUCAGUGAUCUCAGUAAAAUACGGCCUACUCUUUUCAGAAAAAAUACAAUGCAAUGACAAUGUCCUUCUCUCUUUAAGAGAAACAUCUCAGUCUAAUUGAAAGGAAUUAAGAAGCCAUGAAAUACUCUCUACUUUAUUCGGACCCGUGCUACAACUUCCAUUGAUGUAGAAUAUGUAAAAGGACGACACAAGAGCUAGGACCCCAUUAUCUGAAAACGACAUCGAACCUUAUAGUUCUCAAUCGGAAGACCUUUUCCCAUGCCUGUUACUUUUCAUAUUUAUUAUCAUCCUUCGGUUUUCUGACAUCAUUUCUUCAUAAAAGUACAUGCACACUCAAAGAUGGGAGCUGUGUUUCCAAAUGAAUUGAAUCUAUAACUCUUGGCCCAGCACCAUGGCUCACACCUGUAAUCCCAGCACUUUGGGCGGCCGAGGCUGAUGCAUCACCUGAGGUCAGGAGUUCCAGACCAGCCUGGCCAACGUGGUGAAACCCCAUCUCCAGUGAAAAUUAAAAAAAAUUAGCCGGGUGUGGUGGCGGCUAACCCUAGCUACUCGGGAGGCUGAAUCAGGAGAAUCCCUUAGAACCUGGAAGGCAGAGAUUAGACACCCUGUGAUAGGAUUUUUGAUAUCCUGGGGGGAUAUUGCUCCUGACAGCAGAGUGGGCAUACACCCUGUGAUGUUAUUUGUAAUAUCCUAGAAAGAUAUUGCUCCUAAUAUCAUGGUGGCUCUACACCCUGUGAUCUUAAUUGUAAUAUCCUACAGAGAUAUUACUCCUAAUAAUACAGUGGGUGUACACCCUGUGAUAUUAUUCAUAAUAUAUUACAGAGAUACGACUCCUGAUAUCACAGUGAGUGUACACCAUGUUUGUACACCCUGUGAUCUUAUUUGUAACAACUUAGAAAAAUAUUACAGCUAAUAUCAAACUGGGUGUACACCCUGCGAUGUUAUUUGUUAUCUACUAGGUAGAUAUUCCUCCUAAUAUCACAGUGAGUGUACACCAUGUGUGUACAGACUGUAAAAUUACUCAUAAUACCCUAGGAAGAUAUUACUCCUCAUAUCACAGUGGCUGUACACCGUGAGUGAUAUUUUUUUCUAAUAUCUAGUGGGGGAGAGGAUGAUAUUGCUUCCAAUAUCACAGAAGGUGUACACCCCCUGUGAUAUUGUUCCUAAUAUCCAGGGAAGGAGAGGAUGACAUUAUUCGCAAUAUCACUGGGGGUGUACUACCUCCCGCCGGUAUAUUUUUCUUAAUAUCCGGAGGUGGAGAGAAUGAUGUUACUCCCAAUAUCACAGGGGGUGUACACCACCCCUGUUUGUAGACACCCCCUGUGAUAUUGUUCCAAAUGGCCUGUGAAAGAGUAAACAUGACUCCCAUUAUCGCGGGGGGUGUUCAGCCCUGAUGAUAUUGUUUUCUAACAUCCAGGGAAGGAGAGUAUGCUAUUACUCCCAAUAUCGCAGGGGUUGUACACCCUUUUGUGUUUUUGUGCCCAAUAUCCAGGAAAAUAGAGGAUGAUAUUACUCCCAAUGUCGAAGUAAUUGUACAGCACCCCUGUGAUAUUCUUCCUAAUAUCCAGAAAGGAAAAGAAUGAUAUUUCUCCCAACAGCGUAGCAAACGUAUACCCGCACUGUGGUAUCUUUCCCAGUGUCCAGGUGGGGAGAGGAUCAUAUUACUUCC